rnacentral:rRNA from 1 species
CAGGUGGGGACCAAGCGUUGUCCGGAUUUAUUGGGCGUAAAGAGCUCGUAGGCGGUUCGGUAAGUCGGGUGUGAAAACUCUGGGCUCAACUCGGGGAGGCCACCCGAUACUGCCGUGACUCGAGUCCGGUAGGGGAGCACGGAAUUCCUGGUGUAGCGGUGAAAUGCGCAGAUAUCAGGAGGAACACCGGUGGCGAAGGCGGUGCUCUGGGCCGGUACUGACGCUGAGGAGCGACAGCGUGGGGAGCAAACAGG